rnacentral:rRNA from 1 species
CGGCAACAGCUCAAAUUUGAAAUCUGGCGUUUUUAGCGUCCGAGUUGUAAUUUGUAGAGGAUGUUCCGGCCACGACCUCGGGCUAAAUUUCUUGGAACAGAAUGUCAUAGAGGGUGAGAGCCCCGUCUUGACCCGAGUGUACGAGCCGUGUGGAACUCCUUCGAC